rnacentral:lncRNA from 1 species
CGUAUCUGCAGUCCUUUUUCUCACCUCCAGAAACAGGUAGCUGCUAAAAUUUUACUGUGCUGGAAUGUUAUUCAGUGUUAAUAGCAUACAGUGUUGACCUAUUUUUUUUUUCCUAUGGUGAAAGGGUAAAACAGUUCCUAAAAGAGUUGUAAUAAUUUUUACAUGACUGUACACAUUGAUGAGGCUCAAUAAAUAACAAAUAUUUAGCUGACUCCUCUUUACGAGAUCGCCAACUGCACAGCAACUGCUUAUUCCUCAAAUGGCACUAAUAUUUGCUUCUUAGAUACUUACUAAUUUUAAAUGCCUGUACCUGUGUUGAAAUAGUUUUAGGGUAGUUCUUUUCCAUUUCAGAAAAGGGGGAAAAAUAUUCUCUUCAUUUCACUGUCAUAUCGAAAGCUUGAGAGACAGGAAAUAUCUCUCAAAGAUAAACAAAGUAAAAAGAAAAUAAAAUACUCUGAGUUGUAUAAUAGGUAAUCCCAAAUUUUCUAAGACAAGCAGUACAAAAGUUGUAGAGGGAUUCCUUGUGGAAUAUAGGAUACCCCAGGAGGGCUUGGGCAUCCCAGGGCUGUUGCAGAAGUACCCCUGAAGGGGCCUCAGGCUGAAGAUAGGCUUGCUAGGCACCUGCCAGCCGGCAGCCUUGAACAGCCUUGGGAAAAGGUAUACACUGGUCAGCUCCCCCGCUGCUUAGAGGCUUUCUCAUGGGAAAGGGGCGUGAACUUUGGAAAAAGUAUAACUUGGUGUAACCGAAUAAUAAAACUGGAGCACGAUGCUCAAAUCGUAUCGGUGUUCGUAUCGUGACUCUGGCUGGAUUCCCCUGCUUCCGGGACCCACCCCUGCUACACGUGGCGCCCGAACGGCAGGGACCCGAGUGAGUUUUGCUUCAGGCAGGUUCGCUUCAAUGCGUUCCUGCUCUGGGAACGAACGUGGACUGCAAUGCUACAGAAUGUCCUGCAACAACAGGGACAAGUCAUCGUUGCAUCACUGACCAGAGCUGUGCCCAGCAAAGUGGUGCCAUGCUACAGGACCCCGAAACAAGAAAGCACAGUCAGCAUCAGCUCCUGAAGAAAGUGACGCCACUACUUCAACAGCUGGAACUCUGAAACCUGUCCUGAGGAGCCUUGAGAGAGGCUGCAGACGUGGCUGAGUGAAGGAGCUGAGGACUUGCCAAAUCCACCACUCUCCGUAGCAGGAGAAAUAGCGAGACCCUGGGGCGAAUGUAACAGCUGCCCUAGGUGGUUGCUAGUGACAUGUGGUAGGUGUCAGGGAACCCUCCCCAAAGGCAAAACCAAGAAGGAGAGUUGCAUAAAUUUUUGGGUAUAGCACCAGACACAGAGGUAGAGUGAGAAAUUGUUUUUUGACUGUCUUGAGACAGGAGCAUUAGCGGACAUUUUCAAUCAGCUGUCCGCCCAUUUAGAUCAAGUGAAGGC